ensembl:lncRNA
CUGCAGUGAAGGGAACCCUCCUUUUAUAAGAUAAAGAAGUGUUGUAUGAAGAAAGGGCACCUGGCCAAGAGCAAGUAUAUAGUUGGUAAAUACACAGGAGACAAUAAACACAACUGUUAAAGUUGAGUUACCAGAAGAGGAACAAAGAAGCAGCAGAGCCAUUGGGUUAAGUCAAGUCAGCCGUAAUCUGUUGUUAAACAAUUACUUGGGAAAAAGCAUGUGAGUGAAGCUCAGUUUUACUUCUGUCUUCUUCCGGAGGAGGGUCAAGAGGAGAGAGAAGGAGAGACUCACCAGCAAAAGAAAGAGAAGUCCAGGGUGGGAGGACUCAGUCACUAAAUUGUUGCUCAAUUCUAAUAAAUGACAUUCCAGUGUGCUGUGGAAAAGCUGCAAAUUAUAUGGCAGAUCUAGUCUGUAAAGAAGUGGAAUUAUGCAGAAUUGUUAGAGUGCCAGCUUGCAAGAGAUGGGUAAGUCCUGUCCCUAUUUUGACAGAGUGGAAGAAGGGAAGUGUUAUAUAAUAAAGACCAGUGGCUUGAUGCUAGAUUUGUUUCGGGGGUGUAAACUAUUCCAGUGUAUAAAAGACCUACACACUUGUUUGUUCUUGAUCACACCCACAGUGUGGUGGUCUUGGGGUGCUGGCCUUGGACCUAAAGGCACAAGAAGUGGCCCCUGAAUCCUCUUUGAGUUUUCCUAAUCUUUGCAGAGCUUAUUAUCCUCCAGAUCACUGGCAGGAGACUGGAUGUAAUUUCCAUCCUUCACGUCCUUCUGGGAUGUGUUCCAGAAUCAGUCUGGGAUCUUGUCUUGACUGGGAUUGUGCGUGAUGGUGAUCACAAGUUCCAUUUCAUCCUUAAGGACCUCUCUUUAGGAGUCAGUGUCUAUAUUCUCAGGACCAAGUUUCAUAGCACACAUGCUUUCGAGCUGCUGCUGCUACUGCUAAGUCACUUCAGUCGUGUCCAACUCUGUGUGACCCCAUGGACGGCAGCCCACCAGGCUCCCUCAUCCCUGGGAUUCUCCUGGGAAUCAUUAACUGGUCAGCAUAUAGAAAACUGUGAUCACUGAGUUUCCUUCAUGGAAACAUCUUCAGGGACUGAAGACAGCCUCCCGAUCAUGCUUGCUCUCUCACUUAGGAGCUAGUACAGCCAAAACUCACCUAUCCUUCCUCCCAGCAAUGUCAGAGAGAAGAUUCUGGGGCAGAAACCAUCUGUCAUGCAAGAUAGUUGGCAAUAUCAAAGCAUCUCACCCCAGGCCUGGUGUCAAACAUGUUCUCAGUGUCAGUGGAAGAAUAACAUGUAAAGAAGAAUUGUAUCACAUUUGUCUUGUAAUAUUGAGCUGGGAAGUGUUUAAAGAGUUCAUUUGGUCCAACCCUCUGUGUCCAGUCAGAUGGCUACUCCAAAAACUACAGGUACUGCUUGAAAUCAGUGGUUCCCAUCUACUUUCGCCACCUCUUUUUUUUAUGUAAAAACAAACAACCAAACAAAAAAGGAAGAUGUUUUUCAUUGUGAAUCUUAGAAUUUAUUCAAAGAAAAGUUAUCUCAAAUGGUACAUAUUUCAGACUCAGUUUUAAGUCUUUUAUUUUUAUUUUUUCUAGUUCACAUGAUAACAAUACUAAGAAAGGGAUCAGGUAAUCAGCAAUGCUCUAACAUUUUCCCAACAGCUAUUAAUUUAGCUUUACAUGUAUAUAUUAAAAAAUAAUUGAUAUAAAGGGGGAUUCAUCUGAAUUAAAAGCACUGAAAGAAAAAGAAAAUUGCAAAAGAAAAUCCUAGUGGUGUUCAUUCAGCCAUCAUCCAGAGGAGGCGUGUUGUUUACCAGACCUAAUAUAUUCAGAUCACAUUGGGCAUGGCUAUCUAUUCUGAGAUCUAUGUAUCAGGAAGACUUAGCUUGCAUAUAUUAAACUUGAAAUUCAAUUGGCCGCUGAUUUAACACUCAUCAGAAAAUUUCUUUGAUCAUUUGGACUUCCAUGAAUCUCUGCUUACAAAGAGAAAGUAACUUUGCGUUGGACAGACCAUAAAACACAUGAUCAGAGUCAUAUCUAAUGUUUUAUUCUGAGAGAGCACAGCCUCUAGAAAUUCUUGUGCGUAGGAAAAGGGGGAAGCCAAUUCGGUUCUCUAACUGCAAAUAAUGGCCCUAAGGAGCCACACCUGGGCCACGCCUGCGCAGACAUAGCCGGGAGCCAGAUAACGAAACUCUACCCGGAUAGGGUUCAGUCUUUUUGAGAGGGCAUGCUUCUGAGAGCCUGGUGGGCUGCCGUCUAUGGGGUCGCACAGAGUCGGACACCACUGAAGCGACUUAGCAGCAGCAGCAGCAGCAGCCUCUGAGAUGCUUCUGGAGUGAGUGAGUCGUCAAGAGUUGUUGGCGAAUCCUAUGGGUGAGGAGCCAUGCUUCCAGGAACUUUGGGGGCUUUUCAGUCUUAGAAGCCCUUUCACAAUUGAGAUUCUCCAUUUUUAAAGCCCCAGAGGCAACCUGCAAAGGUAUGGAUCCUCAUUAAUUUCUGAUGUAUGUUGUAUAUCUGCAAGAGACCUAGAUUCUAUGCAUUGUUUCAGAUUUGAGAUUUUACACUUUUGUAUCUUAUUAAUGGUAGGGGAGGGGAUGUUUGUUGGAGGAAUGUUUGCCGUUAGUAAAGGUGGAUUGGAUGGGAAUUUCUAAGUGGAUCUGAUUGAAUUCUCUGAUGAAUAGGUGAUGCUUUACCUCUACACCUAUAGUUCUCCCACUAAGACCUGUGCUUUCUGUUUGGACAUAUGGCCACACUCAGGAUUUUUCUGGUUUUUACUUAUUUUUAUUUAUAUCCUGGCGGAGUUAAUGAUCUUCAGGGAGUACUUGUGUGUUCAAUGGAGAGCUAGAGAGUGGCUCUGGAGAUAAUGUGUUUAAUUAAACUAAAAAUUCUCCAGCACCUGUCUAUGGAAGCUGGUACCGCAGAAUGCUUGUUCCUCAAACAAAUCAGGGAUACAUUUCAAUCUAUAUCCACCAGAGCCUGUACAUUAUGGUUAUUUCUCUUCGGCGUACUGUAUUGGGGUCGAUGUGGGUGGAAAGGUAGAGGGAAGGCCAAGAAGGAAAAAAAAGAACACACACACAUAAAUCUGAAUAAUAUAUUCACGUCUAUAAUAUGUAAAACUUAAGAUGCGUCAGAAAUGGCGGAUAAAUUGACAGAUUUUUCAAAUGCCUCUUUUGCAUGUAACAACUAUGUGUUUGUUCUUAAUACAUUUUUUUGUUGAUGCAAAGAACUAUAGUGAUA